GGGCUCACACAAGCGGUGGAGCAUGUGGCUUAAUUCGAGGCUACGCGAAGAACCUUAUCCCAGACUUGACAUGUGCGAUAGCGGUGGGCGGUAACUCCCGGAAACGGGGUGUGAUUCCUCGCAAGAGGAGGACCCACUACAGGUGCUGCAUGGCUGUCGUCAGCUCGUGUCGUGAGAUGUCGGGUUAAGUCCCAUAACGAGCGAAACCCUUACCUCUAGUUACUACGGGUCAUGCCGAGGACUCUAGAGGGACUGCCGGUGUCAAACCGGAGGAAGGCGGGGAUGACGUCAAGUCCUCAUGGCCUUUACGUCUGGGGCUGCACACGUGCUACAAUGGCGUGAACAGAGGGAAGCCAAGGCGCGAGCCGGAGCAAAUCCCAAAAAACACGCCCCAGUUCAGAUCGAGGGCUGCAACUCGCCCUCGUGAAGUCGGAAUCGCUAGUAAUCGCGGGUCAGCAACACCGCGGUGAAUGUGUUCCUGAGCCUU
rnacentral:rRNA from 1 species